rnacentral:rRNA from 1 species
UACAGAGAGUGCGAGCGUUAAUCGGAAUCACUGGGCGUAAAGCGCAUGUAGGUGGAUAUUUAAGUCGGAUGUGAAAGCCCUGGGCUUAACCUAGGAAUUGCAUUCGAUACUGGAUAUCUAGAGUAUGGUAGAGAGAAGUGGAAUUUCCGGUGUAGCGGUGAAAUGCGUAGAUAUCGGAAAGAACAUCAGUGGCGAAGGCGGCUUCUUGGACCAAUACUGACACUAAAGUGCGAAAGCGUGGGGAGCAAACAGG